GAUGAACGCUGGCGGCGUGCCUAAUACAUGCAAGUCGAGCGAACGGACGAGAAGCUUGCUUCUCUGAUGUUAGCGGCGGACGGGUGAGUAACACGUGGAUAACCUACCUAUAAGACUGGGAUAACUUCGGGAAACCGGAGCUAAUACCGGAUGAUAUUUUGAACCGCAUGGUUCAAAAGUGAAAGACGGUCUUGCUGUCACUUAUAGAUGGAUCCGCGCUGCAUUAGCUAGUUGGUAAGGUAACGGCUUACCAAGGCAACGAUGCAUAGCCGACCUGAGAGGGUGAUCGGCCACACUGGAACUGAGACACGGUCCAGACUCCUACGGGAGGCAGCAGUAGGGAAUCUUCCGCAAUGGGCGAAAGCCUGACGGAGCAACGCCGCGUGAGUGAUGAAGGUCUUCGGAUCGUAAAACUCGGUUAUUAGGGAAGAACAUAUGUGUAAGUAACUGUGCACAUCUUGACGGUACCUAAUCAGAAAGCCACGGCUAACUACGUG
rnacentral:rRNA from 1 species